GGGCCCCCGGGCACUCGGUCUUCUCCACGUGGUCCUGACCUGCCCCCCGGGAGCCAGAGAAACAGGACUGGUUUGGGGGUUCCCGUGCGAGGUGACACGGGAGACCACGGUUCCCAGUGCGACA
ensembl:scaRNA